AACGAACGCUGGCGGCAUGCCUAACACAUGCAAGUCGAACGAGACCUUCGGGUCUAGUGGCGCACGGGUGCGUAACGCGUGGGAACCUGCCCUUAGGUUCGGAAUAACUCCCCGAAAGGGGUGCUAAUACCGGAUAAUGUCUUCGGACCAAAGAUUUAUCGCCUUUGGAUGGGCCCGCGUUGGAUUAGCUAGUUGGUAGGGUAAAAGCCUACCAAGGCGACGAUCCAUAGCUGGUCUGAGAGGAUGAUCAGCCACACUGGGACUGAGACACGGCCCAGACUCCUACGGGAGGCAGCAGUGGGGAAUAUUGGACAAUGGGCGAAGGCCUGAUCCAGCAAUGCCGCGUGAGUGAUGAAGGCCUUAGGGUUGUAAAGCUCUUUUAACCGGGAUGAUAAUGACAGUACCGGGAGAAUAAGCUCCGGCUAACUCCGUG
rnacentral:rRNA from 1 species